GGAAGUGACAGCACUUGUGUGUUUUGCCACUACCUGAUUGAUGAAGUUAUGUCCAAACUGAAAGAUCCAGAUGCGGAGUUUGAGAUAAUUCAAAUUCUCAUCAAGGAGUGCAAUAAGAUCGAAGGUCAUGUCCAGCAGUGCAAGAGAUUGGUGCUGCAAUACAUUCCCCUUAUCAUGGUCAAUGGCGAGAAGUUCCUUG